rnacentral:rRNA from 1 species
UACGGAGGGUGCGAGCGUUGUCCGGAAUCACUGGGCGUAAAGGGCGCGUAGGUGGCUACUCAAGCGCGCGGUGAAAGCCCGGGGCUCAACCCCCGGGUCGGCCGUGCGGACUGGGAGGCUCGAGCACUGUAGGGGCGGGUGGAAUUCCCGGUGUAGUGGUGAAAUGCGCAGAUAUCCGGAGGAACACCAGUGGCGAAGGCGGUGCUCUGGGCCGGAACUGACGCUGAGGAGCGAAAGCGUGGGGAGCAAACAGG